UUAAGCGACUAAGCGUACACGGUGGAUGCCCUGGCAGUCAGAGGCGAUGAAGGACGUGCUAAUCUGCGAAAAGCGCCGGCGAGGUGAUAUGAACCUUUGACCCGGCGAUGUCCGAAUGGGGAAACCCAGUGUGAUUCGUCACACUAUCGUUAACUGAAUACAUAGGUUAACGAGGCGAACCGGGGGAACUGAAACAUCUAAGUACCCCGAGGAAAAGAAAUCAACCGAGAUUCCCCCAGUAGCGGCGAGCGAACGGGGAGCAGCCCAGAGUCUGAAUCAGCUUGUGUGUUAGUGGAACGGUCUGGAAAGUCCGGCGAUACAGGGUGAUAGCCCCGUACACGAAAGCACACAGGUUGUGAACUCGAAGAGUAGGGCGGGACACGUGGUAUCCUGUCUGAAUAUGGGGGGACCAUCCUCCAAGGCUAAAUACUCCUGACUGACCGAUAGUGAACCAGUACCGUGAGGGAAAGGCGAAAAGAACCCCGGCGAGGGGAGUGAAAAAGAACCUGAAACCGUGUACGUACAAGCAGUGGGAGCACCUUCGUGGUGUGACUGCGUACCUUUUGUAUAAUGGGUCAGCGACUUAUAUUCUGUAGCAAGGUUAACCGUAUAGGGGAGCCGAAGGGAAACCGAGUCUUAACUGGGCGUUAAGUUGCAGGGUAUAGACCCGAAACCCGGUGAUCUAGCCAUGGGCAGGUUGAAGGUUGGGUAACACUAACUGGAGGACCGAACCGACUAAUGUUGAAAAAUUAGCGGAUGACUUGUGGCUGGGGGUGAAAGGCCAAUCAAACCGGGAGAUAGCUGGUUCUCCCCGAAAGCUAUUUAGGUAGCGCCUCGUGAACUCAUCUUCGGGGGUAGAGCACUGUUUCGGCUAGGGGGCCAUCCCGGCUUACCAACCCGAUGCAAACUACGAAUACCGAAGAAUGUUAUCACGGGAGACACACGGCGGGUGCUAACGUCCGUCGUGAAGAGGGAAACAACCCAGACCGCCAGCUAAGGUCCCAAAGUCAUGGUUAAGUGGGAAACGAUGUGGGAAGGCACAGACAGCCAGGAUGUUGGCUUAGAAGCAGCCAUCAUUUAAAGAAAGCGUAAUAGCUCACUGGUCGAGUCGGCCUGCGCGGAAGAUGUAACGGGGCUAAACCAUGCACCGAAGCUGCGGCAGCGACGCUUAUGCGUUGUUGGGUAGGGGAGCGUUCUGUAAGCCGUUGAAGGUGUGCUGUGAGGCAUGCUGGAGGUAUCAGAAGUGCGAAUGCUGACAUAAGUAACGAUAAAGCGGGUGAAAAGCCCGCUCGCCGGAAGACCAAGGGUUCCUGUCCAACGUUAAUCGGGGCAGGGUGAGUCGACCCCUAAGGCGAGGCCGAAAGGCGUAGUCGAUGGGAAACAGGUUAAUAUUCCUGUACUUGGUGUUACUGCGAAGGGGGGACGGAGAAGGCUAUGUUAGCCGGGCGACGGUUGUCCCGGUUUAAGCAUGUAGGCGGAGGUUCCAGGUAAAUCCGGUACCUUUUAACGCUGAGGUGUGAUGACGAGGCACUACGGUGCUGAAGUAACAAAUGCCCUGCUUCCAGGAAAAGCCUCUAAGCAUCAGGUAACAUCAAAUCGUACCCCAAACCGACACAGGUGGUCAGGUAGAGAAUACCAAGGCGCUUGAGAGAACUCGGGUGAAGGAACUAGGCAAAAUGGUGCCGUAACUUCGGGAGAAGGCACGCUGAUAUGUAGGUGAAGCCCCUGCGGGUGGAGCUGAAAUCAGUCGAAGAUACCAGCUGGCUGCAACUGUUUAUUAAAAACACAGCACUGUGCAAACACGAAAGUGGACGUAUACGGUGUGACGCCUGCCCGGUGCCGGAAGGUUAAUUGAUGGGGUUAGCGGUAACGCGAAGCUCUUGAUCGAAGCCCCGGUAAACGGCGGCCGUAACUAUAACGGUCCUAAGGUAGCGAAAUUCCUUGUCGGGUAAGUUCCGACCUGCACGAAUGGCGUAAUGAUGGCCAGGCUGUCUCCACCCGAGACUCAGUGAAAUUGAACUCGCUGGUGAAGAUGCAGUGUACCCGCGGCAAGACGGAAAGACCCCGUGAACCUUUACUAUAGCUUGACACUGAACACUGGUCCUUGAUGUGUAGGAUAGGUGGGAGGCUUUGAAGCGUGGACGCCAGUCUGCGUGGAGCCGACCUUGAAAUACCACCCUUUAAUGGCUGGUGUUCUAACGUAGACCCGUAAUCCGGGUUGCGGACAGUGUCUGGUGGGUAGUUUGACUGGGGCGGUCUCCUCCCAAAGAGUAACGGAGGAGCACGAAGGUUAGCUAAUCCUGGUCGGACAUCAGGAGGUUAGUGCAAUGGCAUAAGCUAGCUUGACUGCGAGAGUGACGGCUCGAGCAGGUGCGAAAGCAGGUCAUAGUGAUCCGGUGGUUCUGAAUGGAAGGGCCAUCGCUCAACGGAUAAAAGGUACUCCGGGGAUAACAGGCUGAUACCGCCCAAGAGUUCAUAUCGACGGCGGUGUUUGGCACCUCGAUGUCGGCUCAUCACAUCCUGGGGCUGAAGUAGGUCCCAAGGGUAUGGCUGUUCGCCAUUUAAAGUGGUACGCGAGCUGGGUUUAGAACGUCGUGAGACAGUUCGGUCCCUAUCUGCCGUGGGCGCUGGAGAAUUGAGGGGGGCUGCUCCUAGUACGAGAGGACCGGAGUGGACGCAUCACUGGUGUUCGGGUUGUCAUGCCAAUGGCACUGCCCGGUAGCUAAAUGCGGAAAAGAUAAGUGCUGAAAGCAUCUAAGCACGAAACUUGCCCCGAGAUGAGUUCUCCCUGACCCUUUAAGGGUCCUGAAGGAACGUUGAAGACUACGACGUUGAUAGGUCGGGUGUGUAAGCGCAGCGAUGCGUUGAGCUAACCGAUACUAAUGAACCGUGAGGCUUAACCUU
rnacentral:rRNA from 1 species